rnacentral:rRNA from 1 species
AGCGGCGGACGGGUGAGUAACGCGUGGGUAACCUGCCCUGUACACGCGGAUAACAUACCGAAAGGUAUGCUAAUACGAGAUAAUAUACUUUUAUCGCAUGGUGGAAGUAUCAAAGCUUUUGCGGUACAGGAUGGACCCGCGUCUGAUUAGCUAGUUGGUAAGGUAACGGCUUACCAAGGCGACGAUCAGUAGCCGACCUGAGAGGGUGAUCGGCCACAUUGGAACUGAGACACGGUCCAAACUCCUACGGGAGGCAGCAGUGGGGAAUAUUGCACAAUGGGCGAAAGCCUGAUGCAGCAACGCCGCGUGAGCGAUGAAGGCCUUCGGGUUGUAAAAUUCUGUUAUAAGGGAAGAACGACUUUAGUAGGAAAUGGCUAGAGUGUGACGGUACCUUAUGAGAAAGCCACGGCUAACUACGUGCCAGCAGCCGCGGUAAUACGUAGGUGGCGAGCGUUAUCCGGAAUUAUUGGGCGUAAAGAGCGCGCAGGUGGUUGAUUAAGUCUGAUGUGAAAGCCCACGGCUUAACCGUGGAGGGUCAUUGGAAACUGGUCGACUUGAGUGCAGAAGAGGGAAGUGGAAUUCCAUGUGUAGCGGUGAAAUGCGUAGAGAUAUGGAGGAACACCAGUGGCGAAGGCGGCUUCCUGGUCUGUAACUGACACUGAGGCGCGAAAGCGUGGGGAGCAAACAGGAUUAGAUACCCUGGUAGUCCACGCCGUAAACGAUGAGUGCUAAGUGU